rnacentral:rRNA from 1 species
UAGGGAAUCUUCCGCAAUGGACGCAAGUCUGACGGAGCAACGCCGCGUGAGUGAAGAAGGAUUUCGGUUCGUAAAACUCUGUUGUUAGAGAAGAACAGCGCAUAGAGUAACUGUUAUGCGUGUGACGGUAUCUAACCAGAAAGCCACGGCUAACUACGUGCCAGCAGCCGCGGUAAUACGUAGGUGGCAAGCGUUGUCCGGAAUCACUGGGCGUAAAGGGUUCGCAGGCGGAAAUGCAAGUCAGGUGUAAAAGGCAGUAGCUUAACUACUGUAAGCAUUUGAAACUGCAUAUCUUGAGAAGAGUAGAGGUAAGUGGAAUUCCAUGUGUAGCGGUGAAAUGCGUAGAUAUAUGGAGGAACACCAGUGGCGAAGGCGACUCUCUGGUCUGUAACUGACGCUGAGGCUCGAAAGCGUGGGUAGCAAACAGG